rnacentral:rRNA from 1 species
AUUGAACGCUGGCGGCAGGCCUAACACAUGCAAGUCGAGCGGGGUUUUCGGACCUAGCGGCGGACGGGUGAGUAAUGCGUAGGAAGCUGCCCGAUAGAGGGGGAUACCAGUUGGAAACGACUGUUAAUACCGCAUAAUGUCUACGGACCAAAGUGUGGGACCUUCGGGCCACAUGCUAUCGGAUGCGCCUACGUGGGAUUAGCUAGUUGGUGAGGUAAUGGCUCACAAAGGCGACGAUCUCUAGCUGGUUUGAGAGGAUGAUCAGCCACACUGGAACUGAGACACGGGCCAGACUCCUACGGGAGGCAGCAGUGGGGAAUAUUGGACAAUGGGCGCAAGCCUGAUCCAGCCAUGCCGCGUGUGUGAAGAAGGCCUUCGGGUUGUAAAGCACUUUCAGCGAGGAGGAAGGGUGGUGUGUUAAUAGCACAUCAUUUUGACGUUACUCGCAGAAGAAGCACCGGCUAACUCUGUGCCAGCAGCCGCCGUAAGAC